rnacentral:rRNA from 1 species
CGCCGCGGUUACACCACGUGGCUCAAAUUGACCCCCUUCGGCGUAAAGCGUGAUUAAAGUUUUCACUUACUAGAGUUAAACUAAAACUAAGCUGUGACACGCCUGUUAUCAAGAAACCCAAAAACGAAAGUUACUCUAACACAACCGACUUGAACUCACGACAGCUGGGAAA